rnacentral:rRNA from 1 species
GACGAACGCUGGCGGCGUGCUUAACACAUGCAAGUCGAACGGAAAGGCCCUGCUUUUGUGGGGUGCUCGAGUGGCGAACGGGUGAGUAACACGUGAGUAACCUGCCCUUGACUUUGGGAUAACUUCAGGAAACUGGGGCUAAUACCGGAUAGGAGCUCCUGCUGCAUGGUGGGGGUUGGAAAGUUUCGGCGGUUGGGGAUGGACUCGCGGCUUAUCAGCUUGUUGGUGGGGUAGUGGCUUACCAAGGCUUUGACGGGUAGCCGGCCUGAGAGGGUGACCGGCCACAUUGGUACUGAGAUACGGCCCAGACUCCUACGGGGGGCAGCAGUGGGGAAUAUUGCACAAUGGGCGGAAGCCUGAUGCAGCAACGCCGCGUGCGGGAUGACGGCCUUCGGGUUGUAAACCGCUUUCGCCUGUGACGAAGCGUGAGUGACGGUAAUGGGUAAAGAAGCACCGGCUAACUACGUG